GGACCGGCCGAAGGGGAAACCACCUCUCUGCUCCCACUGCAGAGAGGUGGCGACUUAAAGAAAAUCAGUGGUGGAUCCCGGGACACUAGGCAUGCACCCUCCUGAAAAUCGGGUGGCCUUCGAAAGAGCAGGAAUUCAAGGAAGAACUCACCAAGGACUGUCCUACAGCAUACUUCCUAGAUAAUACAGCCAUUUUGUUAGGGAGUUUUUCAGUGUGUUUAUGGGAUCUUACAACAUCUUUUUGAAGAUGGGAUUUCACCAGGACAAUAUAUGCCAGACAAAGAAGCACAGAAUGCUAGUUUCCCAUGAAUAUCUGACUCAGAUUACAUUACUUCUGCUUUUUGGUGGUUUAUGCUGAAAUGUUUGCUUACUGGAGUGUAUUAUGUGUGACUUCACUAUGUUUCCCAAAUGAGACCUUUGCAAAAAAUCACAAGAUCAUAUCUAAAAUUUCCACUAAUAUCUUUAAGACAGUCAACAUUGCUCCAAUGAACAAUGUGUGAAAAUGACGAUGCUAUCCAUGAGACAAAAAUGUCAAAAUAUUUUCAAUAUUUUCCUUUGUGAAGUAGUUUUUAUUGUAUAUAACUAAAUACCUCAAUUCACUUACUAUUAACUCCAAACCCUGUUUUUAUAGAGGGAGAAGCCCAGUUCCGGAUUAAGGGUGGGGCCCAGAGGGUAAGUACCCCGGGCCCACCUGACGUUCGAGUGCCCCCUGCAGGAGCUGCUGUCCAGCAUCCAGGGACGAUUCUGCCUGUCUCCAGGCUCCACGACUAGCUGCAGCGGCAGUUGCUGGAAGAGCUGCUGCCAGCAACGGAGCAUGGAGAUUAGAAUAAUACCGGAUGCCUGUGCACCUGUGUCUGUACAGUCCCUCUGGCGGCGAUGCGGGUGACAGACAGCCAUAGCGUGUGCGUGGGCAGGGAGGGGGCCUGGUGUGCACAGACAGGCACAUCUUAAUUUCAGGCAUUCCCCCUCACCCACCCCGGCAUUUACCGAUUAAGGGGGGUGAUUCCGACUUGAUCGUAACUCUGUUAAAUGUAGCACAGCUACAAUCAGGAACACAGACAUGCGGGGGGAUGCCCAGCACAGUGCUAACCCCCCCCCCCCCUGUAUGUCAGUCCCUAUCCCGUCGCAGAAGUGCAAAAGCAUCGCACAGCGGUGAUGCUUUUGCACUUCAGGAGCAACUCCCGGCCAGUGCAGCUUUUGCAUGCUGGCCGGGAGCUACCCAUCGCUGCCCGGGUCGCAGCGGCUGCGUGUGACAUCACGCAGCCACUGCAACCCACCCCCCACAUGGUCCGGCCACGCCUGCGUUGGCCAGACCGUGCCCACAAAGCGGCGGCCAAAUGCCACCAUGCCAUACCCUCCAGCUCAGCGACCGCCUCUGCCUGUCAAUCAGGCAGAGGUGAUCACUAGGCAACGACAGCCGUCGGUUGUCAGCCAUGCGCCGGCGCACUGCGGCACCGGCACAUGCACAGUUCUGACUUGAUCGCUGCGCUGCAAAGAACUGCAGCGAGUGAUCAGGUCAGAAUGACCCCCAAUAUACCCCCUCCCCCACGCUGCGCCCGGUCAGGAAUGGAUUACUGACAGUGUUAAAUGUGGGUGCCAUACCUCUCGUCUCCGCCUCCCAGGGUCUUCUAAACCAAUUGAAGGAGCCCACCCGGUCAUCCCUUCCCAUGUAUGCACGCAAUGAUAUCACGCCAUGCGCCCCCACGCUCAUUCUUACCCCUGUGCCAGGCCAUUGAUAUGGUGGAACAUUACAGCGCUCCUCUUAGGAGGACAAUACUUUGCAAGCGGCAGCUUCAACUCAGGCAACGGCUGUCAGCAUGCUGCCUGUCACAACAGUAUGCCUUCUGUCAGUGAGUGACUUCAGCCUGCAGGGGAAACAGAGGGGAGGGGAAAUUUAAUAAUAAUAAUUCAAUACAUUUUGGGGUUAAUAUGAUUAUAAUUCAUACAUAUUUUCACAUAUACUGUAUUAACCUGAUAGAUAGAUAGAUAGAUAGAUAGAUAGAUAGAUAGAUAGAUAGAUAGAUAAAAGAGAGAGAGGUAUAUAGAUAAUUAGUUAACAUUAUACAGCCAGGGGUGCGGUGCUGACAUGAGGGAGAGGGCCCCUCUGUCUUAAGUGCCCUGGGCCCUCUGAAAGCGUAAGGGGGGUACACACGGAGCGAUGUUCAGCUAAUUUCUAAGCAAUCUGACUAGAUUGCUUAGAAAUUAGCUGAACAUCGAUCCGUGUGUAGGGGUGCCGGCGAUAGCGAUGCGAGGUCCCGCACGUCGCUAUCGCCAGUGCCUGAUUGGCGUGCAAGCAGGCACAAUCUAGCAGGUCACUCCUUUCACCGCUGGGUGAAAUGAGCGGCCCCCGGUGUCCGUCCCCCCCCUCACUCAGCAUAACGUGCUGGCUGAGCGGGGGGAGAGAUGUGUGCUGAGCGGUCUGUGCUACAGCACACAUCUGUGGGAAAAUCUUCCCGUCAGGACGGCCCUUUAAUCCGGCCCUGGAGUAGCCUUUAUGUAUGAAUUCAGAUAUGGAUGGUGUAGUGGUUAGUAUUACUGCCUCACAGCACUGAGGUCUUGUUUUCAAUUCACAGCUGUAACUAGACAUUUUAGUGCCUUGUGCCAGAAAGAGAAUUGUUGCCCCCCCCCCCCACCCCAAUCAUAUUUAAAAUAGGGACAGUGCGCGUCUUAGGUGCUCGCCAAAAAUAUAGGGGCGUGGCUAUCAUAGGGAAGGGGCGUGGUCAGUUAAUAGUAGCAUUUCACUGCACAGCAGUGACCGUUAUUUAAAUCACACCACACAGUAAGAGCCUCUUAUACAGAUUAUACCACACAGUAAGAGCCCCUUAUACACGUUACACCACAGUAAGAGUCCCUUACACAUGAUGCCAGGUACAGCCCCUACACAAUAAGAUAGAAAGUGUGAGUAUGUGUGUGCAUGAGCAAAGUACAGUGUGUGUGUGUGUGUGUGUGUGUGUGUGUGUGUGUGUGUGUGUGUGUGAGAGAGAGAGCAAGAUGUAGUGUGUGCAUGUGAGCACCCCCCCCCCCCCCCCAGCUGCCACAAUCAGCUGGCGUUCACGGCUUUCAGUGUCAUCAAUGCUCACCCACCACCAUGCCGGAGCUUAGCUGCUGCCCACUGCCUCUCCGUCCAGUGUCCCGGCUCCUCGCAGCUGUGUGUCCCUGACCGCCAGCGGAACAGUAGCACUUCUCCUGCUUUCUACCACGUUGCACAGCAGUGCAGUGGGGGACUCGCCAUUGCCAGCGCUGCCUGCUAUUAUCUCCACAGCAGACAGCAAUGGAACUGUCACACAACCAGGAUGGCCAAUCGGGGACAUGGCGCAUGAUGCACUUCCAUCACAAAUUGUUGUGUGAGAGGAAUACUCUGCACACACCUAGUUACUGUCCUGCCUCCAAGACCCUCUCAGUGUUGAGUUGGUAUAGUCUCCCCAUGUUUUAGUGGGUUUCCUCCGGUUUCCUCCCACAAUCCAAAAACAUCAAGGUAAAUUUUAUGGAUUUCGGACCAAAAAAAAAAAUGUAACCCUAGUUUGUGUGUGUAUGUACAUGUGAUAGGGAAUAUGGGGGGUCAUUCCGAGUUGUUUGCUCGUUGCCGAUUUUCGCAAAGGAGCGAUUAAGGCAAAAAUGCGCAUGCGCAUGGUACGCAGCGCGCAUGCGCUAAGUAUUUUAGCACAAAACUUAGUAGAUUUACUCACGUCCGAACGAAAAAUUUUCAUCGUUGAAGUGAUCGGAGUGUGAUUGACAGGAAGUGGGUGUUUCUGGGAGUGUGCGGAAAAAUGCAGGCGUGCCAGGAUAAAACGCGGGAGUGUCUGGAGAAACGGGGGAGUGGCCGGCCGAACGCAGGGCGUGUUUGUGACGUCAAACCAGGAACGAAACGGGCUGAGCUGAUCGCAGUGUCUGAGUAAGUCUCGAGCUACUCAGAAACUGCUAAGAAUUUUCUAUUCGCAAUUCUGCUAAGCGAAGAUACACUCCCAGAGGGCGGCGGCCUAGCGUGUGCAAUGCUGCUAAAAUCUGCUAGCGAGUGAACAACUCUGAAUAAGGGCCAUGGAUUGAAAGCUCCACUUAGGCAGAGACUGAUGUGAAUGACCAAAUAUUUUCUCUAAAGUGUUCCAGAAUAUGUGUGCGUUAUAUAAAAACUGUUAAAAAAUAAACUCCAAAUCCGGAUGUUUUGGUGGUCACCUCAUAGGGAUGUGAAAACUUGCUUGAAAAAUACUUUUAUAUUGUUAGAAGGAGAAAGAUGUGUUUAUGUCACCUACAUUUUUAAGUUUUCUGGACUUAUUUAGACCCAUGGAAACAUGGUAUCCGGGUGAUAGAUAGACAGUAGUGUCUAGUUAGACAGUCAAUAGAUAGACACCAUACUGUAUGUUAGAAAGACUUUAGGUC